CCGAUGUCUAAGGCUAGUGAAACUGGGGGAUUGAGGUCGAGCUCGUUCGCGAGUCUCGUUACCAGUCCUUCGGUUCGAAUAGAAUUCGCUAGACCCUGAUAUCGAGAAUAGGACAACGAACGUCGGUGAAAUAUAUACGCUCACCGGUUACGACGGACGUACGGCCCAUUCGAUCGUCGCCUGCUCGCAGGUUACGGUUAGUAAUCCGGUUCGUAUCCGAAGUCGUCGGUGAAGUUUCGACGUUCGGGCGUCCGCGGCGUCCGAGUCGGUCACCCGUCCGACCCGUCUUGAAACACGGACCAAGGAGUCUAACGUAAGCGCGAGCUAAUGGGCGGAAAACCCAUAAGCGAAAUAAAAGUAAAAGCCGUUUCGGACGGCCGAGGUACGAUCCCGAAGAACGAAAGUAUCUACGGGCGCAGUACCGUCCCGUCCCGACCGCUUGUCGGUAGGGCGGAGAUAGAGUGCAUACGUUGGGACCCGAAAGAUGGUGAACUAUGCCUGAGCAGAGCGAAGCCAGAGGAAACUCUGGUGGAGGUUCGUAGCGGUUCUGACGUGCAAAUCGAUCGUCAG
rnacentral:rRNA from 1 species